UACGUAGGGUGCAAGCGUUGUCCGGAAUUAUUGGGCGUAAAGAGCUCGUAGGCGGUUUGUCGCGUCUGCUGUGAAAACUCGGGGCUUAACUCCGGGCCUGCAGUGGGUACGGGCAGACUAGAGUGCGGUAGGGGAGACUGGAAUUCCUGGUGUAGCGGUGAAAUGCGCAGAUAUCAGGAGGAACAGCCGGUGGCGAAGGCGGGUCUCUGGGCCUUACCUGACGCUGAGGAGCGAAAGCGUGGGGAGCAAACAGG
rnacentral:rRNA from 1 species